UUUCUGAAUGUUGAGCUUUAAGCCAACUUUUUCACUCUCCUUUCACCUUCAUCAAGAGGCUCUUUAGUUCUUCUUCACUUUCUGCCAUAAGGGUGGUGUCAUCUGCAUAUCUGAGGUUGGGAAGAGCACAAAAGGAAACUUCAAGUUUCCCUAAUUCAGUCCUUCAGGCUGUGAAUUUAGAGAUUGGGGCCCUUGGUCUCUGUGCAGCCACAAAAUGUAUCAGUGGUUUGCAGACAUCCACUCACUGCCCUCAACAUCUUCAACUCUCAGGCCUCCAGUGGAAAAUCUACAUGUCAUUUUGAACUUUCCUUGCUUUCUAUUCUGUGUUCAGUGUAACCUCGGUAACCUGGAAUUGGCCAUAGUGGGAGUAUUUAUAUGCCAAUAAUUAGCAAAUACUACAAAUAAAUAUUUGAGUUUUCCUGGAGCACCAGUUGUUAAACAUUUACCAGCACAUCAUUGCCUUAAACAUCCUUCAUUUCUACCCCGUAAGUGUACUUUCAUACUUCUCAUCCCUGUCUUUGUCUAUGUCGCUGUCUCAUCCACACACAUUGGCUCACACUGUUGUUCUGUUUUCCUGCCUAAAAGGGUUCUGUUUGUUGUUGCUGUUGUUCAGUCAUUAGGUCAUGUCCAACCCGCCAGGCUCCUCUGUCCAUGGGGUUUUCCAGGCAAGAACACUGGAGUGGGUUGCCAUUUCCUUCUCCAGGUGAUCUUCCCAACCCAGGGAUCCAACCCACAUCUCCUGCAUUGGCAGGUGAAUUCUUUACCACUGAGCCACCUGGGAAACCCCCAGAGUUCUGUGUCACCUCCCAAAUGAGCCCCAUGUCCCCAGGCUGAUUUAAUUCCCGCAGUCAUAUGAUCCACAGCUACCAUGGAUAUUCCUGCAUUGCUUCCCAUCUGUUGACUUCGUAUAUCGACUUUCCAAGUUUUAUGAGAAAGCCUGGAAAACUCUUUUCCCCCAACCUAACUCACCUCACCCCUCACUUCCUUCAGGCUUUUGCUCAAAUGUCACAUUCUCAGUGAGACCCUCCUUAAAUUUCCUCCUACUCCCAGAUGGGAGAGAUGCCUGCUGGGAGGGCAACCAUCUUCUGGCAGAUGGUGAUGCUGGGAGGGUGGACUGUCAGUACAGCCUGGCUAGGAAUACCAUGAGCAAAGGCAGGGCUGUUUAACCAGUGACCCCAGGGGCUGCCUCUGGUUGCUUGGCAAUGAAUUGGGAACAAUGGUUGCUUCUCUCCCCGUGGGAGAAUCAGCCAAUGUUCCCAGGUGUUAGGAGGCUGGCGUUCCCAGCUGACACCCACACAGAAAAUGUUUCUUCUCCUCAUGCAAGUCUGUUCUCACGCUCCCUCUAUGAACAGGAACAGCACAGACACUGGGGCCCCUUCUGGAGCACAGCCGCUCUGUGCAUCAGGCAGUUCCCUUCCCUGACACGUGACUCAGAGCUGCAGGGAAACAGGCACCAUGCCUCGGCUGACUUCUGCCCAUGAGUUCCAGCAGACACAAGCCACACUGCCUGCCGACCAGAAGUAGGAAGACCUGUGAGGAGGAGCUAAUGACCUCCAGGGGUGGGGGUCAGUGGAAAGGAGUGUAUCUGCACAGCUUACAUUAACAGCUAAGGUUGUACUUUUUAAUCACUAUUUUAACCCACUUGAGUUUUAUCUUCCCAAACGCUCUCCAUGAAAACUACAAACCAUCAGCUUUUUCUGAAAAUUUUCACUUAACCCUUUGUAUUUCCCCCCAUCCUUUCUUUUGUCUGAUCUUUUCCCUGUCUCUUUCCUCUCUAUCUAGCAUUAACUACUUUCUAAGAAGCACUUUUUUAAAGUACCUUGUUUUCACACUAAGUGGUCUGUGCUGAAAUAUGUAGAGACUCUCCCACCACCACUCUCCACGAAUGCCCCAGUGGGACCCAGUCACGAAGGAAAUACAAGCUCAGCUGGGGUUUCCAGUGGUGGCAUCUGUGUUUUGUUGUCGGAGAGCGGUCCUCUGGCUCCCUCAGUAGGAACCAUCCUGCUUAGAUGGCACCUGUGACACAGAAGCUAUGCCUCAGAAUCAGACAACUAUUCAUUGUUAUCCAAAUCUACUGCUAGCUAUCUAAAUUAGAGUUGGAUUGGUUGGAAUGUGGUUUCUACCUCAUUUCAUUAGAUUAUAAUGCUCACUCUAUAAAUAAAACAAGGCACUAACUUUAUUUAAUCACAGAUUACCUAACUUGCUCAGUACAUGUAUCUGGUAAAAUGGAUGGAUGGGGGAGGUGUGCCAAUGAGAAUAAGACACACACAGCUGAAUCAGCUUCAUGGUGUUACUGGGAAGGCAAAUGAGAGAAUAUAGAUAAAGAUCUCAGAAGAGUGCCCAACACAAGACAUCUCUAAAAGACGUAGUUGUUGUUUGCUGCUAUUGUCAUAACAAUAAUUAUCUAAUUGUACAAUGAAACCAGUGCUCUAGUAACCCAAAGAGCUAAAAACUGUCUUUUGAAGACUCUGAUUUCAUUUGGUUACUUAUUACUCCAAUUUUAUAUUGUUCUUUGGUCUUUAACUAAAAAACGCCCUUGUCUCACCAGCAUUUAGUGUCUCUCAUUGGUCACAUUUACUGGAAGCCUAAAGAGCAAUGGAGCCUGGGAAAUGUAGUUUCUAGUGACAUACAACAGCUUCAGAGGUUAAACAGGUGAAUGAAAGAGACAAGAAAUUCAAACAAAUAUUUCUGCAAAUCUGAUGCCUGUACAUGAGACUUCAUAUCUGCACUCAACCAUAGGCACACUUCAUCUUGAAGUGCAGAAAGGAUCAGAAAUAUAAAAUUUUUUAUUUAAAAUUUUAUUUUAAACAUUUUAGAUGAGUUAUGAUAUUCUGGGAAAGAAAGAAGUGGGGGAUACAAUUUUAAGAAAGCAAGAAGGCAUAUGAUUUUAAACAACUUUCUCUUUUUAUUUGUACUCAACACAAAUGAAAUGACUGCAACUUUGAAGACUGGUUGUUUUGAGUUCAGGAACAGUGUGAGAUAAUAAGAAUAAAAACAUUGAUUUGGCUAUCCAUCAAGUCUCUGCUUUUCAACACUGUGCAACCUUGAGCAAAUUAUUGUCCCUUUUCACCUUCAGCUUCCUUGUCUGGAAAACAGAACCAAUGAUGAUCACCCAAUUCAGAGGACAGAAGUGAAGGUUAAGGGGGAACAAUGGCCUUGGUACCUAUGUUGGUGCUAGGCAUGUUGUCACUCAGUCGUGCCUGACUCUGUGACCCCAUGGACUAUAACCUGCCGGACUUCUUUGUCCAUGGAAUUUUCCAGGCAAGAAUACUGGAGUGAGUUUCUAUUUCCUACUCCAGGGGAUCUUCCUGGUACAUAACAGACACUAAAAAUAAUGCCUUCUCUUCCCUUUAUUUCCCCUUUUAUGUCUUUGGUUUAUCCCUGUGAUAGGGGCAGAGUAAAUGGACAAAGUAGGUGAUUAAAUAGUUGAUCCCACUAUUGGACUAUAAAUAGAGGAAAUAUAGGAGACCCCUGCAAGUUAAUGAUUACUCAGCAAAGCAGGUUUUCUUAACCACAAAACCAAGCAGGCUUGCUUAGGAACAAAACCUAGCAGGCAACAGAAGCAUAGGGAUAUGUCCCAAACAAUAAAACAAUGGUGGCAUGAGACCCACAUCCUGCCCAGUGAAAUCAAUAAGUUAAUGAUUCCUAGGACAUACCCUCUGAACACAUUAAAAAAUAAUUUUUAGACAGAGUUUGACCAUGUAUGGACAAAGGAAAAAAAAAAAAAAAAACAACUCCCCUGCUCAACCUGGAGCAGGAGCUGAUGAUUAAAACGUGACAUCUACUCAAGAAAGACAAAUAAUUUCUUCUCCCUCCCUCCCCAUCCCAUGUUUCCUUUGAUUAUAAAACUGUAGCCCAGGAAGUUUUGGGGGCACAGCACCUCCUUGCCCACCUACUUGGGCCACCAGCCUCACAAGUAUAUCAAUUCUUAUCUAUCACUUUGCCUCUCACUGAAUUCUUUUCUGCACCAAUACAGAAAGGACUGUGGUACUGGAGCUCUUUGGAGCCCCUGAAAAGAUACCCAUCUGUUUCAUCUGGAUUAUCUGUUACCUAUUGCUGCAUCCAGACUUAGCAGCUUCAGGAUGUGAGCUCAGAUCAGCUAUGGCUCUGCUCCACAUUUUCUUCAUGGAGGGACCCAGACUUAAAGAAAAUGACAUAAAGAGAUCUCACUGCUUGUAAAGAUUCUGCUGGACAAUGAUAGCCAGAGAGUCCAACGUGGCCCUGGAAAUUCUCAUCUGAUAUGCAGCCACUUGUGCAUACAACUAAACUAAAUAGGACUGACCUAUGGAACUAAGAGAAUAUUGUCAUUUCUGAAGUUCUGUCAUAAAAGAUACUAUGACUUCAAUUUUGCCCUCUCUUGGAUCACUCAUUCUUGUGGAAGCCAGCUGUGAUGGACUGAGCCCUCCAGCAGCUCAGUAAACAGGGUCCAGUUUCUAGACAGGAAGAGCUUGCCAGGAUUAAGAGAUCUGUGUUUUGAUUCAAGAGUAUAUAUGUAGACACUUAUGUUUGAUAUUCUUAAGCUCUUCUGGACCAAGAAAGGAUACAAAUCCUCCAUCUCAUCCCCAAAUCCAAAGUACUCUCCACUUGGAACUUCUGCAGAGACAUUUUCCCUCCAGGUACCACAGAAUUCCCUUUCUGGCAGUCCAGGGAUUCUUCAAAUCAAGAUUUCAUAUUGAGCAGAGUGAAGUUGGCUUCUCUCUAUGCCAUGAUAUUUGGGACUUCAGCUGAGAAGACUUGACCACGGGAAGCUGGAAACAGCUGGAGAUUCAGAAGAACACUGCUCCUUAAACUAGGAUGGUUCAAAGAUUACAGAGACUAACCAGCGUAUCCAAAUGUCAUCUCCACAGAUAGAUUGGCUUUCUCACUACAUGGGGCCCUCAGAAUCACUGAAAUUCAGAGAUGGAUAGUUCAGAGAUCAAAGCCUGAGGGUUCCAGCAAAUAAGGCAGACGAUGAGCUGCUUUUUAAGACCUGGCCAUGCAAGUCCCACAGCUUCCCUUCCUCCACACUCUAUUGGAGUAAGCUGCCACAAGGUCAUUCAGAUUCAAGGGGACCAGAAUUAAAUUUGAUAGAGGAGUGAAUGUGGGUCAGGAGAAAUUGUUGUGACCGUUUUUGAGAAAUUAAACCUGCUAUCUUGUAUAACCACAAGAAUGUCCAUGAGUGGUAGACUAGAUAAAUAAAUACAUUGGUGCACAGGUAAAAAUGGAAUAUUAAAAGGCAGUGCAUAUCAGCAAACUAGAACUCUCUGCAUCAGUGUAACACAGAGGGACGAUCUUACUCAGGGAUAAAAGCAAAAUACUCCAGAUAUGACUUUGCAUGUGUACAUUUCAAAAUCAGGACAAGCAAAA